UACAGAGGUCUCAAGCGUUGUUCGGAUUCAUUGGGCGUAAAGGGUGCGUAGGCGGCGAGGCAAGUCUGAUGUGAAAUCCCGGGGCUCAACCCCGGAACUGCAUUGGAUACUGCCUUGCUAGAGUACUGGAGAGGGAACUGGAAUUUACGGUGUAGCAGUGAAAUGCGUAGAUAUCGUAAGGAAGACCAGUGGCGAAGGCGAGUUCCUGGACAGUUACUGACGCUGAGGCACGAAGGCCAGGGGAGCAAACAGG
rnacentral:rRNA from 1 species